rnacentral:rRNA from 1 species
AUGGAAAUCAAAAUCACAGAAGAUGAUGAAGUUCAUAACCCUGACCCGUAUGAUUUCGUCUAUAGCAACAUACCAAAGAACACACACGUGCUCAAAACGGUGCCAAAUUGCAGCUUCUGCCAUGCAACAAAAUUCAAGUAUGAAACUAAGGGGUUAUGCUACAGAAAAGGACGGAUAAGACUAGCCAAUCCAGAUACACCACCAGAACUCAGGAGACUUUGGACAAGCAACGAAUCAGAUGCAAGACAUUUUCGGAACAAUACAAGAUUUUUCAAUGGACACUUCUCAUUCACUACUCUAUACUGCAACCUUGACAAAGAAACAACUGACAUGCGAACAGCUAGUAUUUAUACGUUUCGAGCACAUGGUCAGAUCUAUCAUAAUAUACACUCAUUUGGUAACAGUCGCUCAGAUCCAAAGCAUCUGGAGUUAUACUUCUACGAUGAUGAUCCAAGCUUGGAGCAUCAUUACCGCCGUUGCCGCAAGGAAAUGUACGAGCAAGACAAGCAGGUGAUUCGAAUAAUAAUCGACAUUCUACACGAUAAUCCAUACUCUCAACAGUUCAGGAGUUUGGGACAAGCCCAGAACCUUGAGGACUACAGACUCAUAUUGAACCUUGACCAAAGAUUGGACCAAAGAACUUAG